GAUGAACGCUGGCGGCGUGCCUAAUACAUGCAAGUCGAGUGAACGGACGAGAAGCUUGCUUCUCUGAUGUUAGCGGCGGACGGGUGAGUAACACGUGGAUAACCUACCUAUAAGACUGGGAUAACUUCGGGAAACCGGAGCUAAUACCGGAUAAUAUUUUGAACCGCAUGGUUCAAAAGUGAAAGACGGUCUUGCUGUCACUUAUAGAUGGAUCCGCGCUGCAUUAGCUAGUUGGUAAGGUAACGGCUUACCAAGGCAACGAUGCAUAGCCGACCUGAGAGGGUGAUCGGCCACACUGGAACUGAGACACGGUCCAGACUCCUACGGGAGGCAGCAGUAGGGAAUCUUCCGCAAUGGGCGAAAGCCUGACGGAGCAACGCCGCGUGAGUGAUGAAGGUCUUCGGAUCGUAAAACUCUGUUAUUAGGGAAGAACAUAUGUGUAAGUAACUGCGCACAUCUUGACGGUACCUAAUCAGAAAGCCACGGCUAACUACGUG
rnacentral:rRNA from 1 species